UACGGGGGGUGCAAGCGUUGUUCGGAAUUACUGGGCGUAAAGGGCUCGUAGGCGGCCAACUAAGUCAGACGUGAAAUCCCUCGGCUUAACCGGGGAACUGCAUCUGAUACUGGAUGGCUUGAGUUCGGGAGAGGGAUGCGGAAUUCCAGGUGUAGCGGUGAAAUGCGUAGAUAUCUGGAGGAACACCGGUGGCGAAGGCGGUUCUCUGGGCAUGUCCUGACGCUGAGGAGCGAAAGUGUGGGGAGCGAACAGG
rnacentral:rRNA from 1 species